GUUUACCUAACGGUACUACAAUCACACAUGCACAUGGUAUCGCAAUGUUCGUGAAAAUUUUAUAACACUGUAUCUAUACCUGAAGAAAAUUGUUCUGUUUUCCUCGAGCAUAACUUCAUAACUUCAAACUCAUGACUGACGCCGGCUUGGAAGGUCUAUUCUACCCCAUUCUGCUGAUCGUAUUCUUCGUCAUCAUAUGGAUACCCUCGACACUCAUGGUAUUCUACCACUUGUACAAGUUUCACAUCUCUCCAACACCUAGAAGUCUACCAGCACGGACCAUCUCUUUUUACUGUUGUUUCCUACUGCUGAUUUACUUUUCAAUGCCAAUAUUUAUCGAUACGAGUACAAAUACAUUCCUCAUUAUGGACAGAGCGAUGAUGAUGGCGGAAUUUAUCAAAUUCAUAAUCGUUUUCGAUAUACUGCUGACUUUUUACCAUGUAGCCGUCUAUUGUGAAGAGCCUUCUUCGGAUACUGAAAAUAAGAAAUUGAUUUACUACCUCUUCAGCAUGAGUAUUCCCUUACUUUACACGUGUGAAUUUUUUACCGCAUUUGAAAUACAAGAUCCGCAAAUGUUUCAUCUUUACGGACCAUUCGCCAUCGCCAAGAUUAUUCGUGUCGUCGGAUUUGGCGUCAUUAUUGUCGCACUUUGUAUCAGAUUGAUUACUAUUAAGAGUACAAACAGACUAUGGCGAAAAUAUGGUCUACAUUUGCGCAUUCUCGCGAUUAUUGGCGGAUUAUCAAUUGUGAUCAGCAUUGCAGAAGCCCGUAGUGACGCUCCUGAUUUUAAACGAUCCGAGAAGAACAACUAUGCUGAACCAUUUUAUAGGAAUUGGGAAUAUUUUCUGGAAGGAUUUAUCAUUGGGUUAUACGCAUUGAAUACAACCACAUCACUUGGAGCUGUUAUAACUGAAUCGAAUUCCCCAGUCAGCGCAAUACACUAUGCCAAUGCAAUACCCAUAACGGGUCAGAAUUACCCUCACGAAAAUCGUACUACGUAGUCUACGCAUAUAAUAGGUCGGAUCGCACAAUAAACCAAAAGCCAAAAACAGAAAACAGCAUGGAUAUUCUUUAUUUAGUGGAUAUCAUAUGGUUUACAGCAUGCGCAAUUUCAACAAUCUGUGUUGGCAUCCAUGUGUACAAGUUCUUCAGAACCACAGCACCCCAAAGUUUGCUAAGCAAGCUCCUCGCUUUUUAUUGUUUUUUGUUAUUGUUAAUCUACAUUCCUACAUUAGGACUUUACCUUGUGAUACACCUGGAGUUAUCAGACAGACAUUUCACGACUUUAUUAAUUAUUACAUUACACUUGAUGGUGACGGCGACCUAUUUCAAACUUAUAAUGGCUUUAGAUCUGUUCAUUAGUUUUCGCCAAAUUGCUAUCCACCAACAAAUACGUUCUUCGGAUCCUCGAAACAAGAAAUUCAUUGUUUAUUGCAUCGUCGGUAUAGUUGUUCCUUUAUUUUUGACCAUGUGUAACUUCAUAUUUUCAAAUAACUUACAGGAACCAACAAUUUUUGCUCCAAGUAAAGUUAUGAGAGCUAUUCGUAUCGCUCGUUUGUUUUUAAUCAUUGGCGCUGUUUACUACAUUAUAUCAGGUAGCAAGGAUAAAAAAGGAAUGCGGUUAAAAUACCGUCAACAUGUGCAAAUCCUCACGAUGCUUGGUGGAUUUUCUGCUUUGGUAACCAUAGCUGAAAUUAUCACAGUGAUCGUCAAGAAUAAUUUUAAUAUUAUUCCAAAUUCUUCAAUGAUAGUGUUCUUAUUAAUACAUUAUUUCGGUUAUCUGUUAGAGGGAAUGGUUAUUUGCAUUUUAUUCACAUUCAAGAAACAAACAUUUCAGUCUGUCUCUUCUGCCAGUCCCAAUAAUACAGUAGUAGAAUACAAUAAUGACACGAUUCAAAUGUGACUUUUACCACCAGCUAUAAAAUAUAGUUUGCAUUUCAUCGAAAUGAAAUUGAUUGCUCAACAUUUAUGAUGUAUUUUCAACAAAUAUAAUGUAUUCGUAUUUUA